rnacentral:misc_RNA from 1 species
UUUAUAAUCAACCCACAGAGGUUUUCUAACCUUUUCUGGUGCUUGGAUAAUGAAGGCUUGCUGGUGAACCAAUGGUUCACCUGCUCCUUURAAAUGCAUUCGCAGAGUUCAAUACAGAGCUGGCUUCAGUCUGAUAAAAUUUUGUUAUCUGUGUGUGCUGUUGCUAGUGAAGAUGUUGAUUUUGCUUCCAAAUGUCCAAUUGAAUUGGACUGUGUCUUAGGCACAACAAUACUUGAU